rnacentral:rRNA from 1 species
UACGUAGGUGGCAAGCGUUGUUCGGAAUUAUUGGGCGUAAAGGGCGCGUAGGCGGUCGUGACAAGUCACUUGUGAAAUCUCCGGGCUUAACUCGGAAAGGUCAAGUGAUACUGUCGGACUAGAGUACAGAAGGGGCAACUGGAAUUCUCGGUGUAGCGGUGAAAUGCGUAGAUAUCGAGAGGAACACCUGCGGCGAAGGCGGGUUGCUGGGCUGAUACUGACGCUGAGGCGCGAAAGCUAGGGGAGCGAACGGG